rnacentral:rRNA from 1 species
AAUGAACGCUUUUGACACGCAUAACACAUGCAAACUAAUUAGUAUUCGUUAAUAUGGGUGUACGGGCGUGUAAUGUAGAAGAAUUUUUAUCGGUUCUAGUAUCCUAAAGUAAACUUCUAUAGAAUUAAGCUGUUGGUGGGGUAAAAGCUUACCAAGCUUAUGAUUCUUAACUAUUUUGAAAGAUUGAAUAGUCGCAAUAAAACUGAAACAAGGUUUAAGCUCUUUUGAGGCAGCAGUGAGGAAUANGGACAAUGGGUGUUAGUCUGAUCCAGCGAUGUUGAUUGGUAGGGAUCUGAAGGCAGAAGCUGUAAACUCUGUAUAGUAAUUUGAUUAAUGAUUAGAGUUGCUAUUAAACUACCGGCUAAUUUGUUGCCAGCCGCCGCCGUAAG